AGAGUUUGAUCCUGGCUCAGAACGAACGCUGGCGGCAGGCCUAACACAUGCAAGUCGAGCGCACCUUCGGGUGAGCGGCGGACGGGUUAGUAACGCGUGGGAAUAUACCCUUUUCUACGGAAUAGCCUCUGGAAACGGAGAGUAAUACCGUAUGAGCCCUUCGGGGGAAAGAUUUAUCGGGAAAGGAUUAGCCCGCGUUAGAUUAGGUAGUUGGUGGGGUAAUGGCCUACCAAGCCUACGAUCUAUAGCUGGUUUUAGAGGAUGAUCAGCAACACUGGGACUGAGACACGGCCCAGACUCCUACGGGAGGCAGCAGUGGGGAAUCUUGGACAAUGGGGGCAACCCUGAUCCAGCCAUGCCGCGUGAGUGAUGAAGGCCUUAGGGUCGUAAAGCUCUUUCGCCUGUGAAGAUAAUGACGGUAGCAGGUAAAGAAACCCCGGCUAACUCCGUGCCAGCAGCCGCGGUAAUACGGAGGGGGUUAGCGUUGUUCGGAAUUACUGGGCGUAAAGCGCACGUAGGCGGACUGGAAAGUUGGGGGUGAAAUCCCAGGGCUCAACCCUGGAACUGCCUCCAAAACUAUCAGUCUAGAGUUCGAGAGAGGUGAGUGGAAUUCCGAGUGUAGAGGUGAAAUUCGUAGAUAUUCGGAGGAACACCAGUGGCGAAGGCGGCUCACUGGCUCGAUACUGACGCUGAGGUGCGAAAGUGUGGGG
rnacentral:rRNA from 1 species